rnacentral:rRNA from 1 species
AUUGAACGCUGGCGGCGUGCUUAACACAUGCAAGUCGAUCGGUAACAGGUGUAGCAAUACAUGCUGACGAGAGGCGGACGGGUGAGUAAUGCUUGGGAAUCUGCCUAGUUAGUGGGGGACAACCCGGGGAAACUCGGGCUAAUACCGCAUACGCUCUACGGAGGAAAGCCGGGGACCGCAAGGCCUGGCGCUAAUAGAUGAGCCCAAGUCGGAUUAGCUAGUUGGUAGGUAACGCCUACAAGGCGACAAUCCGUAGCUGGUCUGAGAGGACGACCAGCCACACCGGAACUGAGACACGGUCCGGACUCCUACGGGAGGCAGCAGUGGGGAAUAUUGGACAAUGGGGGCAACCCUGAUCCAGCGACGCCGCGUGGGUGAAGAAGGCCUGCGGGUUGUAAAGCCCUUUCGGUGGGGAAGAAAAGUCUGACCUAAUACGUCGGGACCUUAACGUAACCCA